UUGGAGGGCAAGUCUGGUGCCAGCAGCCGCGGUAAUUCCAGCUCCAAUAGCGUAUAUUAAAGUUGUUGCAGUUAAAAAGCUCGUAGUUGAAUUUCGGGGUCAAUAAGUUGGUCGUGCCAAUGGUAUGCACUGGCUUUAUUGAUUCCUACCUCUUGACGAACUGUGAUGCCAUUAAUUUGGUGUCGCAAGGAAUCAGGACUGUUACCUUGAAAAAAUUAGAGUGUUUAAAGCAGGCUUACGCUUGAAUACAUUAGCAUGGAAUAAUGAAAUAGGACGUUUGAACCUAUUUUGUUGGUUUCUAGGAUCGACGUAAUGAUUAAUAGGGAUAGUUGGGGGCAUUAGUAUUCAAUUGUCAGAGGUGAAAUUCUUGGAUUUAUUGAAGACUAACUACUGCGAAAGCAUUUGCCAAGGAUGUUUUCAUUAAUCAAGAACGAAAGUUAGGGGAUCGAAGACGAUCAGAUACCGUCGUAGUCUUAACCAUAAACUAUGCCGACUAGGGAUCGGAUGAUGUUAAUUUUUUAAUGUACUCAUUCGGC
rnacentral:rRNA from 1 species